UAGGGUAAAUGCCUCCCAAGCCGAUGAUCAAAAGCCAUGUUUGAUAGAGCAGAUGGCCACAUUGGGUAUGAAAAGCCCCAAGUAGAAUUAUCUACCAGCAGUCAAGAAUAUUAGUCAAUGCUCGCAAGAGUGAACUAGCUAACUGAAAUCACAGGAUCCAUUACGUAUGGUGACUGUUAUAACGUAAGGGAAAAAAAUGAUAUUACCUUACUAUUAGUGUUGUCCAAAACUGGUGCCAGAAGACUCGGUAAGGCCAGAGACGCAAACGUUAGUCGUCCUAAUCAGGCGUAAAGGGUAAGUAGGCUGCUUUAAAAGUUAGUAAAUAUUUUAAUAGCUCUAUUUAAAUGAAUAAUAUCAUUAAAUAGUAAAAUAUACAAUGAAUUAAAGCUAGGAUCAAAUUGAGGAUAAUUUAAAUAAUACUUAGUGUAGGGUUUACAUCUGGUGAUACUAAGGGGAGUACUAACGGUGAAAGCUUUUUAUCUAGAAAUGAUUGACGCUGAGGAACGAAGGUGAGAAUAGGAAAUAGGAUUAGAUACCCAGAUACCUCUCACAGUCAACGAUGAAUGGUGGUUGUUAGUUAGUUUUAUUUAACUGAUAACGAUGUUAACACGAUAACCAUUCCGCCUUGCGAGUACGGUUGCAAAACUGAAACCAAAAAAAUUAGUCGGUCUCGAAGCAAACGAAGUGAAGCAUGUUAUUUAAUACGAUAAUACGCGUAAAAUCUUACCAGUCCUUGUAUAUCCAAUAUUUCUAAUUUAAUUAGAGAGAUUGAGUAGUUUCUUUUUAAAAUAAGAAAUUCGUUUA
rnacentral:rRNA from 1 species